AUAGCCAUUGGAGGGGUUGUGAUGUGUCUAAGAGAUAUCAUAUCACAGCCUGCUUUGAUGAGCUAUU
rfam:Lingula anatina scaffold2046, whole genome shotgun sequence.